GCCAUACCACCCUGAACGCUCCUGAUCUUGUCAGAUCUUCUGAAGCUAAGCAGGGUCGGGCCUGGUUAGCAUUUGGAUGGCAGAAAUACCAGUCAAC
rnacentral:rRNA from 1 species